rnacentral:lncRNA from 1 species
CCCCUUGAUUUUAGGGUUGGUAUGAGAUCAAAGGGGUAGAUAGAACUCCUCAGCCGUAGCGAAGGCAAUCUAUCUAAGAGAAGGACACUCUGAUGUAAAAUCCUGGCCCUCCAGGUUGGGGGUUGAGGCAUCGGGCUAACUCCUCGAUACUCGGAAAA